rnacentral:rRNA from 1 species
UAGGGAAUUUUCGUCAAUGGGCGCAAGCCUGAACGAGCGAUGCCGCGUGAGUGAAGAAGGCCUUGGUCGUAAAGCUCUGUUGCGGGGGAAAAAAGGGACAUCUGCAGGAAAUGGUAGAUGACAGAUGGUGCCCCGCCAGAAAGUCACGGCUAACUACGUGCC